rnacentral:pre_miRNA from 1 species
GGGGAAGGCAUAGGCAUGGGAUAGUAGGGAAGAAGUGAUAACAGCAUAUGCUUAUUAUGGUGCUUCUUCUUACCUACACCUCCCAUGCCUACGUUUUCCCUCUA